AAAAUUGGUUCAUCAGGGUCAAAACAUAAAACCCUAACUUCUCUCUCUCCGCCUCCAUUUCAUUUCCUCUAAUCUCCCUCUUUCUCCUCUCCUUUCUCUCUCCUCUCUCCUCUCAUCUCCUCUCCCUUCUUCGCUCUCCUAUCUCUUUCUUUUCGUUGAUCUUCUUUCAUCUCCUCUCCCUUCUUCGAUCUCCUCUCUCUGUCUUCGAUCUUCACCACCACAAAUUCGACCACCGUCGCAAAGCCCACCACCACCACAUCAUCACUGCCGCAAAGCCACUUCCGCAAAACCGCCACCACCACCACAAAGUUCGACCACCGCCGCAAAGCCCACCGAUAUCAACAACAAUUUCUGGGUAUAAUUAUUCGAGUUUGUGAGUAUCUUCGUCGAAUUCGGGGUCGGAGGAGCAAAAUUGUUGGGCGAUACUGCUUCUACUAUUCAGCAACUGAUUCUGCUUCUUCGUUAAUCUAAUUUUUUUUUUUUUUUUUGUUGGCAAGUGUAAAAGUACAGAUUAUCAAUUUCAAUUUUAUUAUAUAUUAAUGUAUUAUUAUUGGAGAUAUUAUUAUUGUUGGCAAAAAUGUAUACAUAUAACAUUGUGGUGAUUAUAUAUGAAUUUCAAUUAUACUUGUAGCAUUUGGUGUGUAAUUAAUUAUUGAUUAUAAAUUUCUAUUAUAUUUGGUGUUG